rnacentral:rRNA from 1 species
GACGAACGCUGGCGGCGUGCUUAACACAUGCAAGUCGAACGGAAAGGCCCUGCUUUUGUGGGGUGCUCGAGUGGCGAACGGGUGAGUAACACGUGAGUAACCUGCCCUUGACUUUGGGAUAACUUCAGGAAACUGGGGCUAAUACCGGAUAGGAGCUCCUGCUGCAUGGUGGGGGUUGGAAAGUUUCGGCGGUUGGGGAUGGACUCGCGGCUUAUCAGCUUGUUGGUGGGGUAGUGGCUUACCAAGGCUUUGACGGGUAGCCGGCCUGAGAGGGUGACCGGCCACAUUGGGACUGAGAUACGGCGCAGACUCCUACGGGAGGCAGCAGUGGGGAAUAUUGCACAAUGGGCGGAAGCCUGAUGCAGCAACGCCGCGUGCGGGAUGACGGCCUUCGGGUUGUAAACCGCUUUCGCCUGUGACGAAGCGUGAGUGACGGUAAUGGGUAGAGAAGCACCGGCUAACUACGUG